UUCCUCCUUGUCUCGGGGAGCAUAACAUCUAAUGAACGUAUAGUGAGGAUGUUGAUGCUGACACCCAGAUUGAACCAGGACAUCCUGGCGAUACCCCCGCUCGGGGUGGUUGCUUUCGAACAGUGACCAUCUGGGCGGAAUUUUUGGAACG
rnacentral:ncRNA from 11 species